AGGGUUUGAUUAUGGCUCAGGACGAACGCUGGCGGCGUGCUUAACACAUGCAAGUCGAACGAGAAUCUGUGGAUCGAGGAUUCGUCCAAGUGAAGCAGAGGACAGUGGCGGACGGGUGAGUAACGCGUGAGGAACCUGCCUUUCAGAGGGGGACAACAGUUGGAAACGACUGCUAAUACCGCAUGAUACAUUUGGGUGGCAUCAUCUGAAUGUCAAAGAUUUAUCGCUGAAAGAUGGCCUCGCGUCUGAUUAGCUGGUUGGUGAGGUAACGGCCCACCAAGGCGACGAUCAGUAGCCGGACUGAGAGGUUGACCGGCCACAUUGGGACUGAGAUACGGCCCAG
rnacentral:rRNA from 1 species